UCUACUAGAAAGGGGCCGCUAACUGCGUGCCAGAAGCGUCGGUAAUACGUGGGCCCCAAACAUUAUCCGGUUUUACUGGGCGUAAAAGGUCGUGUAGGCGUCCCGCCAAGUUUCAUUUUAAAUACUAUGGCUUAACCAUGGGAAAGGAUGGAAAACUGGCGGGAUCGAGUUUUCUUUAGGGAGACUGGAACUUAGGGAGGAGUAGUGAAAUGCGUUGAUACCCUAGGGAACACCAGUGGCGAAGGCGAGUCUCUGGAAGUUGACUGACGCUGAGACACGAAAGCCAGGGGAGCGAAGCAGAUUAGAGACCUGCGUAGUCCUGGCCCUAAACGAAUGCCUGCUAGCUGCAUUCCCGCCUUUGGCGGGGGUGUGGCGAAGGUAACCCGUUAAGCAGGCCGCCUGGGGAGUACGGCCGCAAGGUUGAAACUCAAAGGAAUUGGCGGGGAGGCACACAACCAGUGGAACAUGUGGUUUAAUUCGAAACGAACCGAAGAACCUCACCAGGGUUUGACAUGCCGCCGUUUAUUUUGCUAGAAAUAGUGAGAAAUCCGCAAGGAUGGCGGCACAGGUACUGCAUGGCUGUCGAAAGCUCGUUCCGUGAGGAGUACCCUUAAGUGGGACAACGAGCGCAACCCCCGUCCCGUGUUACAUGUAUCACGGGAUACUGUCCCGCCUUUUGGCGGGAAGGAAGGAGGGGUAGACGUCAAGUCAGCAUGGUCCUUAUACCCUGGGCUACACACAUGUUACAAUGGGUAGCACAACGGGUUUGCUAGAUUGCAAGGUUAAGCGAAUCCCUAAAAUCUACUCUCAGUUGGGAUUGAGGUCUGCAACUCGACCUCAUGAACGCGGAAUUGGUAGUAAUCGCGGAUCAGCUAUGCCGCGGUGAAUACGUUCUUGCCUCUUGCACACACCGCCCGUCAAGCCAACAAAGUCGGGAAAAUUUGAACCCCACCUAUGGUGGGGGAGGAUUCUUCCGGCGAUGGGGGUUAAGUCGUAACAAGGUAUCCGUUCUGGAAGGAGCGGAUGGAUCACCUCCUUU
rnacentral:ncRNA from 1 species